AUUGAACGCUGGCGGCAUGCCUUACACAUGCAAGUCGAACGGCAGCACGGGUGCUUGCACCUGGUGGCGAGUGGCGAACGGGUGAGUAAUAUAUCGGAACGUACCUUAUUGUGGGGGAUAACGCAGCGAAAGCUGUGCUAAUACCGCAUAAUCCCUAAGGGGGAAAGCGGGGGACCGUAAGGCCUCGCGCAAUUAGAGCGGCCGAUACCUGAUUAGCUAGUUGGUGAGGUAAAGGCUCACCAAGGCAACGAUCAGUAGCUGGUCUGAGAGGACGUUCAGCCACACUGGGACUGAGAAACGGCCCAGACUACUACGGGAGGCAGCAGUGGGGAAUUUUGGACAAUGGGGGCAACCCUGAUCCAGCAAUGCCGCGUGAGUGAAGAAGGCCUUCGGGUUGUAAAGCUCUUUUGUCAGGGAAGAAACAGCAGCUCUAACACAGUUUGCGAAUGACGGUACCUGAAGAAUAAGCACCGGCUAACUACGUGCCAGCCGCCGCGGUAA
rnacentral:rRNA from 1 species